rnacentral:rRNA from 1 species
GGAUUAGGCAUGCAAGUCGAACGAGAAAGGUUUCGCAAGAGACCUAUUAAAGUGGCGGAAGGGCGAGUAAUGCAUAGAUGACCUACCCUCGAGAUGGGGACAACCAUUCGAAAGGAUGGCUAAUACCCAAUAAGACCACGGGUCGCAUGGCCUGUGCUUAAAGAUAGGGACCCGCAAGGGCCUUUCGCUCGAUGAGGGGUUUAUGUCCUAUCAGCUAGUUGGUGGGGUAAUGGCUCACCAAGGCUAUGACGGGUAGCCGACCUGAGAGGGUGACCGGCCGCACUGGGACUGAGACACUGCCCAGACUCCUACGGGAGGCUGCAGUCGAGGAUCUUCCGCAAUGCACGAAAGUGUGACGGAGCGACGCCGCGUGGGUGAUGAAGGCCUUCGGGUUGUAAAGCCCUGUCGACUGGGAAGAAUGGCGGGAGGUUAAUAGCCAUCUCGUCUGACGCUACCAGUAAAGGAAGCACCGGCUAAAUACGUGCCAGCAGCCGCGGUAAUACGUAUGGUGCGAACGUUGUUCGGAAUCACUGGGCAUAAAGAGCACGUAGGCGGUCGAGCAAGUCCAUUGUGAAAUCCCCCGGCUUAACCGGGGAACUGCAAUGGAUACUACUCGGCUAGAGUGCAGGAGGGGAGAGUGGAAUUCCUGGUGGAGCGGUGAAAUGCGUAGAUAUCAGGAGGAACGCCGGCGGCGAAAGCGACUCUCUGGUCUGCCACUGACGCUGAGGUGCGAAAGCUAGGGGAGCAAACGGGAUUAGAUACCCCGGUAGUCCUAGCCCUAAACGAUGGGCACUAAGUAGAGGGGUUUU